rnacentral:rRNA from 1 species
AUUGGAUGAGCCCGCGGCCUAUCAGCUUGUUGGCGGGGUAACGGCCCACCGAGGCGACGACGGGUAGCUGGUCUGAGAGGACGACCAGCCACACUGGGACUGAGACACGGCCCAGACUCCUACGGGAGGCAGCAGUGGGGAAUAUUGCGCCAAUGCGCGAAAGCGUGACGCAGCGACGCCGCGUGGGGGAUGAAGGCCUUCGGGUUGUAAACCCCUUUCGCCAGGGACGAAGCGAAAGUGGCGGUACCUGGGGAAGAAGUCCCGGCUAACUACGUGCCAGCAGCCGCGGCCGAAU